GAGUUUGAUCAUGGCUCAGAUUGAACGCUGGCGGCAUGCCUUACACAUGCAAGUCGAACGGCAGCACGGGAGCUUGCUCCUGGUGGCGAGUGGCGAACGGGUGAGUAAUGCAUCGGAACGUAUCCUGGAGUGGGGGAUAACGUAGCGAAAGUUACGCUAAUACCGCAUAUUCUGUGAGCAGGAAAGCGGGGGACCUUCGGGCCUCGCGCUCUUGGAGCGGCCGAUGUCGGAUUAGCUAGUUGGUGAGGUAAAGGCUCACCAAGGCGACGAUCCGUAGCAGGUCUGAGAGGAUGAUCUGCCACACUGGAACUGAGACACGGUCCAGACUCCUACGGGAGGCAGCAGUGGGGAAUUUUAGACAAUGGGGGCAACCCUGAUCCAGCCAUGCCGCGUGAGUGAAGAAGGCCUCGGUUGUAAG
rnacentral:rRNA from 1 species